rnacentral:rRNA from 1 species
AUUUAACGCUGGCGGCAGGCCUAACACCUGCAAGUCGAACGAGUGGCGGACGGGUGAGUAAUGUCUGGGAAACUGCCCGAUGGAGGGGGAUCACUACUGGAAACGGUAGCUAAUACCGCAUACCAUCGGAUGUGCCCAGCUGGGAUUAGCUAGUAGGUGGGGUAACGGCUCCCCUAGGCGACGAUCCCUAGCUGGUCUGAGAGGAUGACCAGCCACGCGGGAACUGAGACACGGUCCAGACUCCUACGGGAGGCAGCAGUGAGGAAUAUUGCACGAUGGGCGCAAGCCUGAUUCAGCCAUGCCGCGUGGAUGAAGGAGGCCUGCGGGUUUUAAAGUACUUUCAGCGAGGAGGCGUUACUCGCAGAAGAAGCACCGGCUAACUCCGAUCCAGCAGCCGCGGUAAUAC